rnacentral:rRNA from 1 species
GACGAACGCUGGCGGCGUGCUUAACACAUGCAAGUCGAACGGUGAAGCGCCUUCCUUUUUGGUGGGUGUGGAUGAGUGGCGAACGGGUGAGUAACACGUGAGUAACCUGCCCCCUUCUUCUGGAUAACCGCAUGAAAGUGUGGCUAAUACGGGAUAUUCUGGGUCUGUCGCAUGAUGGGUCUGGGAAAGAUAUUGUUUCGGUGGGGGAUGGGCUCGCGGCCUAUCAGCUUGUUGGUGGGGUGAUGGCCUACCAAGGCGGUGACGGGUAGCCGGCCUGAGAGGGUGGACGGUCACACUGGGCCUGAGACACGGCCCAGACUCCUACGGGAGGCAGCAGUGGGGAAUAUUGCACAAUGGGCGCAAGCCUGAUGCAGCGACGCCGCGUGAGGGAUGGAGGCCUUCGGGUUGUGAACCUCUUUCGCCAGUGAAGCAGGCCUGCCUCGUUUGUGGGUGGGUUGACGGUAGCUGGAUAAGAAGCGCCGGCUAACUACGUG